rnacentral:rRNA from 1 species
UACGGAAGGCAGCAGUGGGGAAUAUUGCACAAUGGGCGCAAGCCUGAUGCAGCCAUGCCGCGUGUAUGAAGAAGGCCUUCGGGUUGUAAAGUACUUUCAGUCGUGAGGAAGGUGUUAAGGUUAAUAACCUUAGCAAUUGACGUUAGCGACAGAAGAAGCACCGGCUAACUCCGUGCCAGCAGCCGAGGUAAUACGGAGGGUGCGAGCGUUAAUCGGAAUUACUGGGCGUAAAGGGCACGCAGGCGGUUAAUUAAGUUGGAUGUGAAAUCCCCGGGCUUAACCUGGGAAUGGCAUUCAAGACUGGUUAGCUAGAGUCUUGUAGAGGGGGUAGAAUUCCAUGUGUAGCGGUGAAAUGCGUAGAGAUGUGGAGGAAUACCGGUGGCGAAGGCGGCCCCUGGACAAAGACUGACGCUCAUGUGCGAAAGCGUGGGGAGCAAAC